GACGAGCCACACGAACGUUAUUCGGAAUUACUGGGCUUAAAGGGUGCGUAGGCGGUGCGGAAAGUUGGGUGUGAAAUCCCUCGGCUCAACCGAGGAACCGCGCCCAAAACUACCGUACUUGAGGAAGAUAGAGGUGAGCGGAACUCACGGUGGAGCGGUGAAAUGCGUUGAUAUCGUGAGGAACACCCGUGGCGAAAGCGGCUCACUGGGUCUUUUCUGACGCUGAUGCACGAAAGCUAGGGGAGCAAACGGG
rnacentral:rRNA from 1 species